UACGAAGGGAGCGAGCGUUGUUCGGAAUCACUGGGCUUAAAGCGUGCGUAGGUGGAUAUGUAAGUCAGAAGUGAAAUCCCCGGGCUUAACCCGGGAACUGCUUUUGAGACUGCAUGUCUGGAGUUCGGUAGAGGUUAGUGGAAUAUCCAGUGUAGAGGUGAAAUUCGCAGAUAUUGGAUGGAACACCAGUGGCGAAGGCGACUAACUGGACCGACAUUGACACUGAGGCACGAAAGCGUGGGUAGCAAACAGG
rnacentral:rRNA from 1 species